rnacentral:lncRNA from 1 species
CACAUAAAGAUAGAAAUCCCCAAGGAGGAGAGCCCGGAUAACAGGGGAGAGAAUGAAGGAGAUGAGCACAAACAAACAAAAAAGCCCCCAAAAUCCACAAAGAAAGAAGCACAGUCGAUGGACAGUUCUGAAACUUCUGGAAGUCGGACUAAAUCUAAGACCAAACCCAAAUAGCCUCUCCGGAGACUGGGGUUCACGGUGGCUGUGUCCGUGAACAUGCCUAAGGAUUGCUGAGCUGUAGCAUUGGCAACGCGGCUCACCCGCUUGGGCUCCCUUAGCAACAGCCAUUAGAAGCAUGGCAGAGGCCAUAGGAAGUCGGUAUAUGAGUUUACUUGUCAGAUUAAAAACAGCUUAUGAGAAAGUA